AGAGUUUGAUUAUGGCUCAGGAUGAACGCUAGCGACAGGCUUAACACAUGCAAGUCGAGGGGCAGCAUAGAAGUAGCAAUACUUUGGUGGCGACCGGCGCACGGGUGAGUAACGCGUAUGCAACCUACCUAUCAGGAGGGGAAUAACCCGGCGAAAGUCGGACUAAUACCGCAUAAAACAGGGGCACCGCAUGGUGAUAUUUGUUAAAGAAAUUCGCUGAUAGAUGGGCAUGCGUUCCAUUAGGUAGUUGGUGAGGUAACGGCUCACCAAGCCGACGAUGGAUAGGGGAACUGAGAGGUUGGUCCCCCACACUGGUACUGAGACACGGACCAGACUCCUACGGGAGGCAGCAGUGAGGAAUAUUGGUCAAUGGGCGGGAGCCUGAACCAGCCAAGUCGCGUGAAGGAAGAAGGAUCUAUGGUUCGUAAACUUCUUUUGCAGGGGAAUAAAGUGCAGGACGUGUCCUGUUUUGUAUGUACCCUGAGAAUAAGGAUCGGCUAACUCCGUGCCAGCCGCGGC
rnacentral:rRNA from 1 species